rnacentral:rRNA from 1 species
UACGUAGGCAGCAAGCGUUGUUCGGAGUUACUGGGCGUAAAGGGUGUGUAGGCGGUUUUCUAAGUCUGGGGUGAAAUCUCCCGGCUCAACUGGGAAGGUGCGCCGAAAACUGGAAGGCUAGAGUGCGGGAUGGGAGAGUGGAAUCCCUGGUGUAGCGGUGAAAUGCGUAGAUAUCAGGAGGAACACCGAUGGCGAAGGCAGGUCUCUGGGCCACUACUGACGCUGAGAAGCGAAAGCAUGGGGAGCGAACAGG